CCUACGGGGGGCUGCAGUGGGGAAUAUUGGACAAUGGGGGCAACCCUGAUCCAGCCAUGCCGCGUGUGUGAAGAAGGCCCUCGGGUUGUAAAGCACUUUCAGUGAGGAAGAACGCCUGGUGGUUAAUACCCAUCAGGAAAGACAUCACUCACAGAAGAAGCACCGGCUAACUCCGUGCCAGCAGCCGCGGUAAUACGGAGGGUGCGAGCGUUAAUCGGAAUUACUGGGCGUAAAGCGCGCGUAGGUGGCUUGAUAUGCCGGUUGUGAAAGCCCCGGGCUCAACCUGGGAACGGCAUCCGGAACUGUCAAGCUAGAGUGCAGGCGAGGAAGGUAGAAUUCCCGGUGUAGCGGUGAAAUGCGUAGAGAUCGGGAGGAAUACCAGUGGCGAAGGCGGCCUUCUGGACUGACACUGACACUGAGGUGCGAAAGCGUGGGUAGCAAACAGGAUUAGAUACCCUAGUAGUC
rnacentral:rRNA from 1 species